rnacentral:rRNA from 1 species
CAGUCGCCGCGGUAAAACGGAGGGCGCGAGCGUUACCCGGAUUUACUGGGCGUAAAGGGCGUGUAGGCGGCCUGGGGCGUCCCAUGUGAAAGGCCACGGCUCAACCGUGGAGGAGCGUGGGAUACGCUCAGGCUAGAGGGUGGGAGAGGGUGGUGGAAUUCCCGGAGUAGCGGUGAAAUGCGCAGAUACCGGGAGGAACGCCGAUGGCGAAGGCAGCCACCUGGUCCACUUCUGACGCUGAGGCGCGAAAGCGUGGGGAGCAAACCGGAUUAGAUACCCGGUAGUCCCUGUCUCUUAUACC